rnacentral:rRNA from 1 species
UACGAAGGGGGCUAGCGUUGCUCGGAAUCACUGGGCGUAAAGGGUGCGUAGGCGGGUCUUUAAGUCAGGGGUGAAAUCCUGGAGCUCAACUCCAGAACUGCCUUUGAUACUGAAGAUCUUGAGUUCGGAGAGGUGAGUGGAACUGCGAGUGUAGAGGUGAAAUUCGUAGAUAUUCGCAAGAACACCAGUGGCGAAGGCGGCUCACUGGCCCGAUACUGACGCUGAGGAGCGAAAGCGUGGGAGCGAACG